rnacentral:rRNA from 1 species
CCUGCUCUCUGAUUAAUUUUUAAGGGCCGCGGUAAUUUGACCGUGCAAAGGUAGCAUAAUAGUUAGUUUUUUAAUUGAAAUCUUGUAUGAAUGGUUGGACAAGAGAAUUACUGUCUCUGAAAAUUUUUAUUGAAUUUAACUUUAAAGUGAAAAGGCUUUAAUUAUUUAAAAAGACGAUAAGACCCUAUGAAGCUUUAUAAUUAAAAAUUAUUUAAUUAAAUUUUUAUAGAUAAAAUUUUAAUAAUUUUUGUUAUUUUGUUGGGGAGAUGAUAUUAUAAUUUUUAAUAACUGUAAAUAAAUAAGACAAAUAUAAUUGUUUGAUAAAUAAUAGAUCCUGUAUAUUAUAGAUUAAAAAUUUAAGUUACUUUAGGGAUAACAGCGUUAUUUUUCUUAAGAGUUCGUAUCGAAAGAAAAGAUUGCGACCUCGAUGUUGAAUUAAAAUUUCUAGAUGGUUGUAGAAGCUAUUUUAGAAGGUCUGUUCGACCUUUAAAUUUUUACAUGAUUUGAGUUCAGACCGGCGUAAGCCAGGUUGGUUUCUAUCUUUUAAUGAAUUAUAAAUUAUUUUAGUACGAAAGGAUUGAGUAAUUAAAAAUAUUUUAUUAAUGGGUUAUUUUGGCAGAAAAUAUGCGUUGGA